ACCAGAGAAUAUUAAACUCAUUUACUUGAAAAAGAGUUUAGUUAUAGAUCUAUUGAAAGAUUUUGAAAGCUUUGAAGCUAAAGUGGUAGAUAGCUUUGUGAGGAUCAGAUCGGACCCCAAAAGUUUCCUUCAGAAAAAUUCUCAUCAGCUCGUGCUAGUUAAAGGGAUGAAGAAUGUCUGGCAAUGAUGUAAACACAGAUAUUGUUCUCCAGGUUUCGAAUUUUGUGAAAGAUGUUAAAAUUUCCAUGCUUUCAGAUGACGAUUUCUCUCAGGAAGAAUGUGAGGAUUUACACCAGAGGAU